GUUCAUUCUGAUUGGCUGUCUCGUCUCCAAUCAUAUCUUCCAUCUGAGAUACUGAAAGAGGGAUUUUCGGUUGACAUGAGGCUACUGACAUCCAUGACUAUCAUAGGACAUGAUGGCAGAAUCUACUGAAGAAAAUAAUUUGCCACAGCGUCAGUGUCUCCAACAGGGGCAUUGGAGUUGUCCAAACUGAAGGAACAAACCAAGAUGGAUCGACAGAAGAUUGAACACCUUGAGGAGCGCCUUAACAACCUGGAGGAGGCCAACAGGGACCUGAAAGCUGACAAGGACAUCCUCCUUGCCCAAAUUAAGGAAGCCCCCAGCACGCUUUCAUCUUCUUGGAAAGUCUAAAUGUCCGGACGACAGAGGCGACAGUAAAACGGCUCAAGUUGGGCUGCACUCUCUGUCCAGCCUCUCGCAUUGUCAGCCCGUGGUUGAUGACAUGAUCAACUAAGGUGACGCAGUCUGAUGAACCAAACUUCGAUGACGUUCCGGUUGGGCUCCUCUUGAUCAGUGCCAAUUCGGCAGAUGCCAUGUUCUUCUGCCCAGAGAGAAUUGCGGUUGUGCUUGAGGGUACCAUAGUUAUCGAAUUCACUGAUCUAUGCCCUGCAUCUGAGUUACCCAAAAGACUUGGCCAAUACCUAAGACUUCACCCAGAAAGUCUUGAUGGGCCUGGAAGAUAGGAAGUUGAGGCCCAGGGUGUUGAGCCUUAAAAAUGACCUUUUAGCAGUGGAGUAAUCUCACUCCAUGAACAAAUCAAUCUGACAAAGUUGCACCUUUUACUUGAAAGGCUUUUUAUAUAUACACACGCACUACUGUCAUUUUGGGAAUACCAUAGAGCCAUGUUUUUAAGUUUGUUUUUAAAACAUCUUAGUGUUUUGAAAGUAUUAUUGUUCAACUUAAAGUUUGAAUGUCACUGUUCAACUUGGAUUUGAGGUUCUUUGAUAUUUUAGGUGUAUUAGAGCUUUAUAUGGGCCAUGUGGUAAAUCAAUGAGCAGAACUGUUUAAGCAAUAUUGGAUUUGUACAUGAUUUUAGCAUCAAUGUGUGAUGAAGUACCUUGAAUUUGCAAGGUAUUCAUUUGUUGAAUUAACCAAACAGGCUUUCCCAUCUGGUUAAGCUAUCCAUAAACAGUUUCUGAAUUGAUUUUCCCGAAAAUUGACCGUAACAUGAUAGAUAUUGAUAAAAUGACAUAUCAUGCAUUCGUUAAAAAAAACUUUCCUCAGGCCAUUUCUGUAGGCCCUUGCACUGUUUUUGAGGUACUUAGUAUUUAGAAGUCAAACAAUAACCGACAAUUUUUACAAUUUAAUUGUUUAUAUUAUAGUUGGUUAAUGAUUAUUUAAUAAAACAGUGACUUGCAUUUAAAUUGUCUGUGUUAACAUGUUUUUUAAUGUUUACUCAAAUAUGUGUAUUUAGGGAUUUUGAGU